GUGCCAGCCGCCGCGGUAAUACGGAGGGUGCAAGCGUUAAUCGGAAUUACUGGGCGUAAAGCGCACGCAGGCGGUUUGUUAAGUCAGAUGUGAAAUCCCCGGGCUCAACCUGGGAACUGCAUCUGAUACUGGCAAGCUUGAGUCUCGUAGAGGGGGGUAGAAUUCCAGGUGUAGCGGUGAAAUGCGUAGAGAUCUGGAGGAAUACCGGUGGCGAAGGCGGCCCCCUGGACGAAGACUGACGCUCAGGUGCGAAAGCGUGGGGAGCAAACAGGAUUAGAUACCCGGGUAGUCCC
rnacentral:rRNA from 1 species